ACCUCGGUCGAUCCUGCCGAAGGCGACUGCUAUUGGGGUUCGACUUAACCAUGCGAGUCGUGCGGACUUUUGUCAGCGGCAUACGGCUCAGUAACACGUGGGUAACCUACUCUCAGGUCGGGAAUAACUCCGGGAAACUGGAGCUAAUGCCCGCUAGGUACAGAUUUCUGGAAUGAUUUUGUACUGAAAGCUCCGGCGCCUGAGAAUGGGCCCGCGGCUGAUUAGGUUGUUGGUGAGGUAAUGGCCCACCAAGCCUACGAUCGGUACGGGCAGUGAGAGCUGGAGCCCGGAGAUGGGGACUGAGACAAGGCCCCAGGCCCUACGGGGCGCAGCAGGUGCGAAAACUCGCCAA
rfam:Thermoplasmatales archaeon DG-70 WOR1_52_54_4387, whole genome shotgun sequence.